GACGAACGCUGGCGGCGUGCCUAAUACAUGCAAGUCGAACGCUUUUUCUUUCACCGGAGCUUGCUCCACCGAAAGAAAAAGAGUGGCGAACGGGUGAGUAACGCGUGGGUAACCUGCCCAUCAGAAGGGGAUAACACUUGGAAACAGGUGCUAAUACCGUAUAACACUAUUUUCCGCAUGGAAGAAAGUUGAAAGGCGCUUUUGCGUCACUGAUGGAUGGACCCGCGGUGCAUUAGCUAGUUGGUGAGGUAACGGCUCACCAAGGCAACGAUGCAUAGCCGACCGGAGAGGGUGAUCGGCCACACGGGGACUGAGACACGGCCCAGAAUCCUGCGGGAGGGAGCAGUAGGGAAACUUCGGCAAUGGACGAAAGUCUGACCGAGCAACGCCGCGUGAGUGAAGAAGGUUUUCGGAUCGUAAAACUCUGUUGUUAGAGAAGAACAAGGAUGAGAGUAGAACGUUCAUCCCUUGACGGUAUCUAACCAGAAAGCCACGGCUAACUACGUGCCAGCCGCCGCAGUAA
rnacentral:rRNA from 1 species